GCUUAACACAUGCAAGUCGAGCGAGAAUCGUUUAUUGAAGGGUUCGGCUGGAAAUAGAUGAGGAAAGCGGCGAACGGGUGAGUAACGCGUGGGCAACCUGGCCUUAAGAAAAGGAUAGCCCCCGGAAACGGGGAGUAAUACUUUAUGAGAAUGAAAGAGGGCAUCCUACUUUCAUUCAAAGCGCAAGCGCUCAAGGAUGGGCCCGCGUAUCAUUAGCUAGUUGGUGAGAUAACAGCCCACCAAGGCAACGAUGAUAGCCGGUCUGAGAGGGCGAACGGCCACAUUGGAACUGAGAGACGGUCCAAACUCCUACGGGAGGCAGCAGUGGGGAAUAUUGCGCAAUGGAGAAGAACUCUGACGCAGCAAUACCGCGUGAGCGAAGAAGGUCUUCGGAUCGUAAAGCUCUGUUAUCAGGGAAGAAGAAAAUGACGGUACCUGAUGAGCAAGUCCCGGCUAACUACGUGCCAGCAGCCGCAGUAAUAC
rnacentral:rRNA from 1 species